ensembl:misc_RNA Metazoa_SRP Metazoan signal recognition particle RNA
GCCAGGUGUGGUGGUGCUCACCUGUAGUCCCAGCUACUCGGGAGGCUGAGGUAGAAGAAUCGCUUGAACCCAGGAGGUGGAGUUGCAGUGAGCCAAGAUUGCGCCACUGCACUCCACCCUGGGUGACAGAGCGAGACUCCUCCAUCU